rnacentral:lncRNA from 1 species
CCACAUUCCAUGAAGGAGGAGCGAUGCCUCUCCCAAGUUUCUCUGCUAACAUCAUGAGAGAACUGAGCUAUGAGCUAUUCAGUGGUUACUUACAUCAUUCUUGUGUUUCCAGCCCUGUGACUUGACCGCAAGGCUUUCAGAAGUGAUCCAGUUUCUGCCUGGUGUUAACCAUCACCACACUCAAGUCUUCCCAGCUGAGGAUCUGUUUCCUCCCAUUCAGCUGAACGACGCCCAACUGAGGAGAAGUUCCUCUGUCUGGUUCAAUGCCUGGUCACAGAGUUUUCCUGGCACAAAUGAGUGGAAAGAGCACUUUGGCCUGGAUGGGAAAUGUGCAGCGGAGGGUGAAAGGUGUCUUGGCAGACACUUCCAAUUUGUGUCCUUAUCUCACAGUCUCCAGCAUCUUCAAAGGCUUUUUCGGCUUCUUGUGUUUUGCAAGUUCAAACCCCUGCACCCCACUGGUCUUGAAAACGUGUGAAUGAACAAAAUAAUUGGAGAUGAAUGACAAUGUAAGUAUCAGCUGUCACUGCAAGGAAUGUUUCCUUCAUUUCUAAAAUGAGUUCAUUGAGAAAGAACCCAGUUUAAUAUAAAUGAAAGCAGGGUUUUCACGGUGACUUUCUCAAAUUUAGAAGAUCUUGUCAUUUAAAUCCAGUUUGCCAUGGAACAUAAAGAUCAUUUGCUAUAUACCAUGUCCAACCAACAAAAAACCCUAUAUAAAGGACAGACUUUCAAGACACUAGAAAGUGGGAAAUUAAUCUCAUUGAAUGUUUGCCACCCCCCUCCCAGAAACGGAGUUGUCUGAUAAAUAAAUUCUUUGCAAACAUUAAAAAACCA